rnacentral:rRNA from 1 species
AGGAUUAACGCUGGCGGCGUGCCUAACACAUGCAAGUCGAACGAGGUAGCAAUACCUAGUGGCAGACGGGUGAGUAACGCGUGGUCAACCUACCGUUGAGUGGGGGAUAACUAGCCGAAAGGUUAGCUAAUACCGCAUACGAGUCUCGGGGGCAUCCCUGGGCCUUAAAAGGAGCAAUCCGCUCGAUGACGGGACCGCGUCCCAUUAGCUAGAUGGUGGGGUAAUGGCCUACCAUGGCUCCGAUGGGUAGCUGGUUUGAGAGAGCGACCAGCCACACUGGGACUGAGAAACGGCCCAGACUCCUACGGGAGGCAGCAGUGAGGAAUUUUCCGCAAUGGGCGAAAGCCUGACGGAGCGACGCCGCGUGUGGGAAGAAGGCCUUCGGGUCGUAAACCACUGUCGAAGGGGACGAUAAUGACGGUACCCUUGGAGGAAGCCCCGGCUAACUACGUGCCAGCAGCCGC